rnacentral:rRNA from 1 species
CAAAGAGAGAGCUGCGGUGUGUCUAAACAUGCAAGUCGAGCGGAGAAUUAGCAAUGGAUUUUUAGCGGCGGACGGGUGAGUAAUGCAUGGGCAACCUGCCUUCGAGUUGGGGAUAACCCCGGGAAACCGGGGCUAAUACCGAAUGAGACCACGGGGCCUUCGGGCCCUGAGGCCAAAGCUGGGGAUCGCAAGACCUGGCGCUUGAAGAGGGGCCCAUGUCCCAUUAGCUAGUUGGUGGGGUAACGGCCUACCAAGACAACGAUGGGUAGCCGGCCUGAGAGGGUGGUCGGCCACACUGGAACUGAGACACGGUCCAGACUCCUACGGGAGGCAGCAGUGGGGAAUUUUGCGCAAUGGGCGAAAGCCUGACGCAGCGACGCCGCGUGGAGGAUGAAGGUCUUCGGAUCGUAAACUCCUGUCAGGCGGGACGAAGGGGCCGGCGGCCAAUACCCGACGGUCCUGACGGUACUGCCAGAGGAAGCCCCGGCUAACUCCGUGCCAGCAGCCGCGGUAAUACGGAGGGGGCAAGCGUUGUUCGGAAUUACUGGGCGUAAAGGGCUAGUAGGCGGCCUCGUAAGUCAGAUGUGAAAGCCCUCGGCUCAACCGGGGAACUGCAUCUGAAACUGCGAGGCUUGAGUCCGGAAGAGGGGGGCGGAAUUCCCAGUGUAGCGGUGAAAUGCGUAGAUAUUGGGAGGAACACCGGUGGCGAAGGCGGCCCCCUGGACCGGUACUGACGCUCAGAAGCGAAAGCUAGGGGAGCGAAUGGGAUUAGAUACCCCGGUAGUCCUAGCUGUAAACGAUGGGCACUUGGUGUAGGCGGUAUCGACCCCGCCUGUGCCGAAGCUAACGCGUUAAGUGCCCCGCCUGGGGAGUACGGUCGCAAGGCUG